rnacentral:rRNA from 1 species
CCUACGGGUGACUGCAGUGAGGAAUAUUGGUCAAUGGGCGCAAGCCUGAACCAGCAAAGUCGCGUGAGGGAAGACGGCCCUACGGGUUGUAAACCUCUUUUGCCGGGGAGAAAGCCGGAGCACGUGUGCCCAGGCGGAGAGCACCCGGAGAAAAAGCAGCGGCUAACUCCGUGCCAGCAGCCGCGGUAAUAAGGAGGAUGCGAGCGUUAUCGGGAUUGAUUGGGUUUACAGGGGGCGCAGGCGGGCUGUUAAGCCGGCGGUAAAACUUCAGGGCUCCACCCUGUCGCGCCGUCGGAACUGGCAGUCUUGAGUGGGCGAGACGUAUGCGGACUUCGUGGUGUAGCGGUGA